rnacentral:tRNA from 1 species
CCGACCUUAGCUCAGUUAGUAGAGCGGAGACUGUAGUUUGAUUAAUCUAAAUUGGAAAUUUAGGUCGCUGGUUCGAAUCCGGCAGGUCGGA